rnacentral:lncRNA from 14 species
CUUUUUGACCUGGAGGAGAAAUUGCUGUUGAAGUGUCAAUAGGCUGCCUGCGAAGGGAAUCCUGGUUACAUUUCAGAGUACCUGUUGCUGGCAAGAUGACUCCACGGUUAAAGGAUGUUUACUGGCAAGCUUGAUGGUCAGUAUUCAAGCCUCAGG